GAUACUACACUUGAUCUUAGCCAAAAGGCCGAGAAAGGUAUAGAUUGACGGACAUUCAUCAAGAUCUUAACGUUUUGCACAACGGCCUGAAGGCUACGAUCUCCUUUUAUUUCGAGCAGUCCGAUCUCAAGGUAGCAUGCGUAAAAUGUUACUCUCACCGGAAGAUAUGCUAUUUUUCCAGUUUAUUAAUAGACUAGGUCCAGGGCACAGAUGGCUAAACAUGCCAAAAGGCAUGAACAAUGCAUACAUGAGAUCAACACAUCUCUUAUUAUAUGUACUCAGCAGCAGCGUCGCAAUUUGGGUGCAAUGAUCGACACAGAGAAUUUCCUGAAGAUGAUGGCUGCACGCUCCAGAUAUCUCAACACAUUAUCCCCAAUCCCCAUGCUGCAGCACGACGUUUCACUGGCAGUCCUUCAGCACCAAACUAGCCAAAGUUAAUUCCCUGUGCUAGAGGCAGCUCGCUUCCAUAGUUGAUUGUACUGCAAAUAUUUGUAACCAACAUCAGUAAAUGAAAACAAUUGCAAAACCUUGAUACAUGAGCUUUAGCAUACUGGAUAGUUGAGGUCAAACUAUAACAAAAAAGCAAUAGUAACCAAUCGGUCUUGCUUGUUUCUGUCCCAAAUACAAAUAAAAAAUGCAUUUACAAUGUCAAACCAAUGAGAAGCUUGGUAAAAGUCCCAUUUCAGAAUCAAAGUAACAUGAGGUUGCUAGUGGUAGCUAGCAGUCACUAGAGCUUGGUUACGUAAAAAUAUUUCUCCCUAGUAACAAGACAGGAGCUUCAAUUUUACGGGCUUGCACCAGCUCCACAGGAAGAGAACAAUACUAACUACAUACUAGAGUCUCAAUGAUGUUCCUAUGUUUGUCCACUAUGCUCCAACAAGGCAUAUUCCUAUGCUUGUUAUAACAAACUAGAAUCUCAAUGAUGCAACUUUAUUAGUCUAAAACUUGGGAACUGAUGGCAAUGAGCAUGUACAUUAUUCAUUAAAGGCUUGGUUGCAUCAUUUUAGCAUACAGCUGGUCCAAGUUAAUAAGCUUCAAAUGACAACUUAGAGGAAAGCAAAAUUAAGUAUUGGUUGUACCAUUUGUAAUUCCCAGAAAAGAUUUGCCUACUUACCAAGUGGCCCUCCUCAUGUACUGCUUCCAAGAAUCACUUCCAGCUUCUCGCCCACCACCGGUUGCUUUUUCUCCACCAAAAGCUCCACCAAUUUCAGCACCAUUAGUGGGUAUGUUUACAUUCACUAUACCACAAUCACUGCCAUGAGGCCUGCAUAUCAAGGAGAAUAAGAACAAUCACUACUGGUUUACUAAUAAUUGUGUCUCGGAUGUGUCAGCCAUCAAGAUAAGCCAGUGGGGUACAUACAACCAGAUGUAACUGUCUUCGCAGGUGGAUCAAUUGUUUUAAAAUACAAUUUACAAAAGAUAAACUUCUAGCACAUAUAGCUCUAGUAGAGUUGUUAUCUUAUGAGUAUCAUUUCAAUAGAUGACUCUUGAAGUGUCAAUGAACAUGAAUAAUCAACUAAAAAAGGAAAAAAAUGCACAGUGUAUAUAUAAUAUACUGAAAAAUACUAAAACCUUUAGUUGAAUCUUAAAAUUGGUUUAAUUUGCUGGACAGGAAAAAUGAUGAUCACAAAGUGUCCAACUUUAGACCUUCAGAAAACAAAGUCAGUGCGACAAAGGUAAGAUCACAGUGCGACUGAUGUGCCAGUACAAUCAUACCAACUGUCCGAAUGGAUGUUCAGAUGCCAAAAAAAAAGGUAACAGUACAGCUCUCUGGGUUAUUGAACCAAAGCUUACCCAAUCCACUUGAAAAUAGCAUCCGGUUUCCUUGUAAAUAUAGAACUGCUCAAUCCUUGAGGAACAGAAUUGUUGAUUUCAAUUGCUUCCUUCAGUGUCUGCAGGAUAAUUGUAACCAGGAUGUGUAUACUUAUGAAAAUGACAUAAGACAACGGCAUACAAUCAAUGCCACAUAGAGCAGGUGAAUAACACACAAGUUU
rnacentral:lncRNA from 1 species